UACGGAGGGUGCAAGCGUUAUCCGGAUUCACUGGGUUUAAAGGGUGCGGAGGUGGGUUGGUAAGUCAGUGGUGAAAUCUCCGAGCUUAACUUGGAAACUGCCAUUGAUACUAUCAGUCUUGAAUAUUGUGGAGGUCAGCGGAAUAUGUCAUGUAGCGGUGAAAUGCUUAGAUAUGACAUAGAACACCAAUUGCGAAGGCAGCUGGCUACACAUAUAUUGACACUGAGGCACGAAAGCGUGGGGAUCAAACAGG
rnacentral:rRNA from 1 species